rnacentral:hammerhead_ribozyme from 1 species
AUUCAAAUGAUGAGUCCAUAUAGGACGAAACGCGCGUCCUGGAU